rnacentral:rRNA from 1 species
CCCUUAGAUGUCCUGGGCCGCACGCGUGCUACACUGACGCCUACAGCGAGUACUUCCCAGCCCCGAGAGGUGGCUGGUAAUCAGCAAUAGGCGUCGUGAUGGGGAUAGAUCUUUGGAAUUAUGGAUCUUGAACGAGGAAUGCCUAGUAAGCGCAGGUCAUUAGCCCGCGCUGAUUAAGUCCCUGCCCUUUGUACACACCGCCCGUCGCUCCUACCGAUUUCGAGUGGUCCGGUGAAUCUUUCGGACUGCGCGCGGCCUCGUGCCGUGUCGCGGAAAGUCAGGUAAACCUUAUCACUUAGAGGAAGGAGAAGUCGUAACA